UGCCCUAUGCGACUCAAACCAGUUCCCCUUUCGGAGACGAACGGAGUUCACUUCCGGCCACCCUGCCGCCGUUGCCGAUUCAGACGAACAUAAUAAACCUAAGCGAAUAAAUAUUCGAUCUUCGAGCUUCAUAGGUUCCUUCCGUUCCAUCGAAUUGCUUUCAGCAUCACAACACACUUCUUCCACCACCGGAACUACUUCCAACGAAAUCGAAACGGCUUUGAUGAAGAGUAGUGGUCUUACCGAGAGACUUACUUGUUAAUUGCAGUUUUCAUUCACUUCAGGAUCAGAUUUUUAUUUAUUCAAUUAAGGGCAAAAUCUGGUAAGAAGCAAUCUAUAUCUUCUGGUGGCAAAAUUGCACAUUCUGCAGGAGCUUCAAUGAGCUUGCCUUAAAUAAGCUUGAAUUCAACUCGGUUACACCCUCAAGACCACGAGUCUCUCCGGUGAUGGAUGUAACAUCAUCCAACGUCUAUCCCUGUUGCCUCUCUCUGUCAUGACAUUAAUGUGAUGAUGCUGUUGAUAAUUGUAUCGACAAUGCAAUGCAUUGCGAAGGCUCAUAGAAAUCUGCAGGCGAUCUUUAACACGGAACUAUGUAACAAACUGCAUUGUCUGACUAAGUUUCAACUCCAUACAGUUGAAGAAAGAAGACAUUCUAUCAGGGUUUCGGCAAAUCAACAAGACACAUCCAACAUACUAAAAGAGACAUAAUCCGCAUUCACUUAUAUUUGAUGACAACCUGUGCGGGGUUGUUACUCUUACUUUGGGCUUGUGUUGGGCCUUCAACUGUCAUGUUGCGACAGGUCAUGAAGUACCAGAAGAGAGCACUGAGCUUUUGAUCAAGACAUUCUGUUUGAGAAAUCGCUAAGGUUUUCAAAACAGAUGCUAUGCAGCGGUUGCUCUCCAGGAGGCAGCUGAAGCAUACCUUGUUGGACCCAUUGAGGACUCUAAUCUGUGUGCAGUUCAGUGCUAAAAGAGUAAAUGAUCAUGCCUAAGGAUAUCCAGCGUGCACGUAGGAUUCAUGGUGAGAGGGCUUAGAGUUUAUAGAUCUGUAACGCUAGUAUGUAGAUCUCAACUGUUUUAUUAUGCUCUUAUAAUUCUUAUUGAUUCAUAUUGAUUCAUGUUGAAUAAAAGUUUUCAGCUUAGUCCUGUUAAAUGAUAUUAUGUAAGUUCGCUGUUA